UACGGAGGGGGCAAGCGUUGUUCGGAAUUACUGGGCGUAAAGGGCGCGCAGGCGGCUGCUCAAGUCAGGCGUGAAAGGCCUGGGCUCAACCCGGGAAUUGCGCUUGAGACUGGGCUGGCUUGAGUGCGGGAGAGGAUGGUGGAAUUCCCAGUGUAGAGGUGAAAUUCGUAGAUAUUGGGAAGAACACCGGUGGCGAAGGCGGCCAUCUGGACCGCAACUGACGCUGAGGCGCGAAAGCGUGGGUAGCGAAAGGG
rnacentral:rRNA from 1 species